CCCUUCGACGUCUGGGGCUGCACGCGUGCUACAAUGAUACGUGCAACGAGUUAAUCCUGCUCUGAAAGGAGUGGGUAAUCUUAUGAAUGCGUAUCGUGCUUGGGAUUGACCAUUGUAAUUAUUGGUCAUGAACGAGGAAUUCCUAGUAAGCACAAGUCAUCAGCUUGUGCUGAUUACGUCCCUGCCCUUUGUACACACCGCCCGUCGCUCCUACCGAUUGAGUGUUCCGGUGAAUUAUUCGGACUGCAACAGUUAUCUGUCGCGGAAAGUCUUGUGAACCUUAACACUUAGAGGAAGGAAAAGUCGUAACA
rnacentral:rRNA from 1 species